UGAAUACGAGAUGCUACGGCGUCGAAGCAGUGUAUGUCAUACUUCCAAGAAAAGCUCGCUAUGUCAUAAACAAUUAAUGCCUGUACCAUAACCGACACAGGUGGGUAGGUAGAGUAUACUAAGGGGCGCGAGAUAACUCUCUCUAAGGAACUCGGCAAAGUGACUCCGUAACUUCGGGAGAAGGAGUACCUUAUUUAUAAGGUUGCAAUAACAAGAUCCAAGCAACUGUUUACCAAAAACACAGGUCUCCGCUAAGUCGUAAGACGAUGUAUGGGGGCUGACGCCUGCCCAGUGCCAGAAGGUUAAAGAAGUUGGUUAACAUUCGCGAAGCUGAUGACUGAAGCCCUGGUGAACGGCGGCCGUAACAAUAACGGUCCUAAGGUAGCGAAAUUCCUUGUCGGGUAAGUUCCGACCCGCACGAAAGGCGUAAUGAUUUGGAUACUGUCUCGGAGAGGGGCUCGGUGAAAUAGACUUGUCUGUGAAGAUGCGGACUACCUGCACCAGGACAGAAAGACCCUAUGAAGCUUUACUGUAACUUGAGAUUGAAAUUGGACUUUAUUUGUGCAGUAUAGGUGGGAGGCGUUGAAGAAAUUCUUGCGGGAAUUUUGGAGCCAUCAGUGAGAUACCACCCCUAUAAUGUUAGAUUUCUAACUUUGUAUCAUUAUCUGGUCAAAGAACAGUUUCAGGCGGGCAGUUUGACUGGGGCGGUCGCCUCCCAAAUGGUAACGGAGGCGUACAAAGGUUUCCUCUGAACGGGUAGAAAUCGUAUCUAGAGUAUAAAGGCAUAAGGAAGCUUGACUGUGAGACCUACAAGUCGAGCAGGGACGAAAGUCGGUCUUAGUGAUCUGACGGUGCUGAGUGGAAAGGCCGUCACUCAACGGAUAAAAGUUACUCUAAGGAUAACAGGCUGAUCUCCCCCAAGAGUUCACAUCGACGGGGAGGUUUGGCACCUCGAUGUCGGCUCAUCGCAUCCUGGGGCGGUAGUACGUCCCAAGGGUUGGGCUGUUCGCCCAUGAAAGCGGUACGCGAGCUGGGUUCAGAACGUCGUGAGACAGUUCGGUCCAUAUCCGGUGUAGGCGUUAGAAUAUUGAGAGGAGCCUUCUUUAGUACGAGAGGACCGAGAAGGACAUACCUCUGGUGUACCAGUUAUCGUGCCAACGGUAAACGCUGGGUAGCUAUGUAUGGAGUGGAUAACCGCUGAAAGCAUCUAAGUGGGAAGCCCACCUCAAGAUAAGUAUUCUCAC
rnacentral:rRNA from 1 species